UAGGGAAUUUUCCACAAUGGACGAAAGUCUGAUGGAGCAACGCCGCGUGCAGGAUGAAGGCCUUCGGGUCGUAAACUGCUUUUAUGAGUGAAGAAUAUGACGGUAACUCAAGAAUAAGGAUCGGCUAACUACGUGCCAGCAGCCGCGGUCAUACGUAGGAUCCAAGCGUUAUCCGGAAUUACUGGGCGUAAAGAGUUGCGUAGGUGGUCUGUUAAGCAGAAUGUGAAAUCGUAUGGCUCAACCAUAUACA
rnacentral:rRNA from 1 species